CUCUUUUGCUGCCUAAUAAUCAGAGGAAUACCAACAUAACUUAAAGAUGCCUUCAAACGCAAGCCAUCAGUUUGUUUAACUAACAAAUACGUUCCAAAAAGUUCUGAAAUCACAAGAAUUAGCGAUUUGAGAUAUAUAUGCAUCCAUUCCAGGUGAUUAGCUGAACUAUGCACAUUAUGAUGCGAUUAGAACCUCAAAAUUAGAGAUAUAUAACAAUCAAUUGUAGUCAUAAUAUGACUUCCCGUCAAAAGAACCAUAUUCACAAUAGCAGCAAAUAAUAUCCUUAACAAAAACAUUAGUCGCAGCCCUCAGUCACUCAGACGCAAAAAGUAAACAGAAAAACCAUACAAUUUAAAGAUCUUUAUUAAACAGAUCUGAUUAAUCGGAGCACAAAUCAGAACCAGUUUAACCAUUUUGAACAAAAGCUUUAGAUACUAUAAACAGAAGACAGCUAAAAUUCGGGUGUUUUCUGAUGAAACGGAUCGAGCGAGUGAAAGAAUUUAGUAUACCUUGUGAUCGGACUCGGAGGCGAACGCCAGAGAGAGGAGGGAGAAGGAGGCGAGUAAAAGAAAGGAGAGUCGAACGGUGGACCGCAUCGGAACGGCAAUCGGCGAAGAUAUCCGAGUCCGAUAUAUAAAACCGGUCGGGUUGACUGAGAACUAGAGGGCGGUGAACUGCUGGCCGGGAUUAUAGUUUAAGGUGAU
rnacentral:lncRNA from 1 species